GUGGUUGCUUCAGCAGCACAUGUACUAAAAUUGGAAUGAUUCAGAGAAGAUUAGCAUGGCCCCUGCACAAGGAUGACGUGCAAAUUCAUGAAGCAUUCCAUAUUUUU
rnacentral:snRNA from 1 species